GGGCGGUAAAUUCCGUCCAA
rnacentral:snRNA from 1 species